UCUAGAGUGUGUCCCGAACCAGCCCAGGGGCUCGAGUUCCUGCCCCCUGGCAAGAGGCCUGGGAUCUUAGCUGAUGUGGUUUUUCUCAGGCUACCAGGAGGGAUAUCAUUGAAAAACAUGGAGUCCAACUUCCAAGAGCAAUGCUAUUGUGCACCGAAGGACGUUGCGGAAGUUUCUGGACUCAAAGUACGGGUUUCCAAACUGGAGCACUUGUGCAAUCGAACAACCUGAAGAGGGGCCAGAUGGAGGCGGCCUCUUUAGCUUAUAGCAGCACCCACCAAUCGCCGAAAACCCUUGAGAGCGACCAGCACAGAAAGACCCUGAAGGCACUCACCAACACAGCAGAGGACCAGAAUGGUGGAUCUUGAAGACCACA